GAUGAACGCUGGCGGCGUGCCUAAUACAUGCAAGUCGAGCGAACGGACGAGAAGCUUGCUUCUCUGAUGUUAGCGGCGGACGGGUGAGUAACACGUGUAUAACCUACCUAUAAGACUGGGAUAACUUCGGGAAACCGGAGCUAAUACCGGAUAAUAUUUUGAACCGCAUGGUUCAAAAGUGAAAGACGGUCUUGCUGUCACUUCUAGAUGGAUCCGCGCUGCAUUAGCUAGUUGGUAAGGUAACGGCUUACCAAGGCAACGAUGCAUAGCCGACCUGAGAGGGUGAUAGGCGACACGGGAACUGAAACAGGGACCAGACUCCUGCGGGAGGCAGCAGAAGGGAAUCUUCCGCAAUGGGCGAAAGCCUGACGGAGCAACGCCGCGUGAGUGAUGAAGGUCUUCGGAUCGUAAAACUCUGUUAUUAGGGAAGAACAUAUGUGUAAGUAACUGUGCACAUCUUGACGGUACCUAAUCAGAAAGCCACGGCUAACUACGUG
rnacentral:rRNA from 1 species